GGACCGUGAACCCUGUUGUGAACUGCGCAUGUGACGGAUCUGGCUUGCGUGCUCCUUAAGAAAAUCUAAUGCCUGAUGAUCUGUCAUUGUCUCUCAUCACCCCCAGAUGGGACCACCCAGUUGCAGGAAAACAAACUCAGGGCUCUCACUGAUUCUACAUCAAGACAGAAAAAAAAGUGCAGUGGCACGAUCUCAGCUCAUUGCAACCUCUGCCUCCUGGGUUCAAGUUCUCCUGCCUCAGCCUCCUGAGUAGCUGUGAUUACAGGCGCAUGCCAACAUGCUCGGCUUAUUUAUUUACUUAUUUAUUUAUUUAUUUUUGCCCAGGCUGCAGUGCAGUGGCGUGAUCUCGGCUCACUGCAAUCUCCGCCUCCCAGGUUCAAGCGAUUCUCCUGCCUCAGCCUCCCGAGUAGCUGGGAUUACAGGCGCCCGCCACUGUGCUCAGCUAAUUUUUUGUAUUUUUAGUAGAGACGGGGUUUCACUAUGUUGGCCAGGCUAGUCUUGAACUCCUGACCUCGUGAGUCGCCUGCCUCAGCCUCCCAGAGUGCCGGGAUUACAGGCGUGAGCCACCGUGCCCGGCCAAUUUUUGUAUUUUUAGUAGAGAUGGAGUUUCACCAUGUUGGCCAGGCUGGUCUCGAACUCCUGACCUCAAGUGAUCCGCCUGCCUCGGCCUCCCAGAGUGCUGGGAUUACAGGCGUGAACCACUGCACCCGGCUGACUCAUGCUUCUUUAAGGACACUCUUCGGCUGGGCACAGAGGCUCACACCUGUAAUCCCAGCACUUUGGGAGGCUGAGGCAGGUGAAUAGGAGUUCGAGACCAGCCUGGGCAACAUGGCAAAACCCUGUCUCUAUACUAAAAAUACAAAAAUUAGUCGGGCCUGGUGGCAGGUGCCUGUAGUCCCAGCUACUCGGGGAGGCUGAGGCAGGAUAAUUGCUUGAACUCGGGAGGCGGAGGUUGCGGUAAGCCAAGAUUAUGCCACUGCACUCCAGCCUGGGCAACAGAGCAAGAUUCCGUCUCAAAACGAACAAAAAAAACCCAUAAAAGUCACUCUUCUUCACAAUAUGGGGAGUUGGGGACCAGCUAGAGGUUUGGGGCUGGCCCUCUGCUUGGUGGUGGUUGGGAUGGUCCCAUAGGGGAGCCACUGUGGCCCAGAGGCCUGAGCCGUGUGGGCCCGGGCCUUGUUUACUGGACUGUGGGCUUCCUGGGUGCUGGGCCUGCUCCCAGGGAGUGGCUCCUUCCCAAAGCGUCCCUUUGCCUUGGGAGCGGAACCACGCAAUAGCCUGACUGGCCCUGGCAGCCCAUGCCUUGUGGCCAGUCACCAGAGAGGGCACACGAGACCCAGGCCAGGGGUAUCAGGGACAGCCCCUGGUCAGACUCUGCUAGUUUCCCUGCCUUUCGCUACGUGGCUGGACCACAGGGGAAGAAAUGGCAAGAAACCGUGUCUAACUCUCCCUUGAUACAAAUUCAAAGUUGGCUUGGGGGAUGGCCACCUUUGGGACACACACCUGGACAGAUCUAAGCCAGCAGCGUGGCUGUUUGCUAGGCACUGUUCUGUGCCUGGGGCUUAAUUUACAGAGGUACGGCUGAAUGACCAUGAGGAGAGGCCAAAGCCAUCGCAAGAUUGAUCGCAUUUCCUGAGAGAAGGGGCACCCAUGCCAUGCACGGUUCUCAGUAGAGAACCCCAGGUUUGGUCAGGAGGCAGAAGCAGGGGCGAGGGGAGAGCCCAGGCCUGAGGCUUUCUUGGGGUUUCCAUGGAAAAGGCCUGGCAGGGCAGGGAAAGAGUUUAAAAUUGGCUAGUUUGAGUAAUUCUAGCAGGCUCUGGGCUGCAGAGUGGUCUCUAGUCACCUGAUACCUGGCCCUGGGUGACUUAGGGCAGGGAGAAUCUUGCCUCCAAAGGCGAGAAUUAGAUAAGGAGGUAGCUGGGGCUGUAGACUUGGGGUCUUUUUUUUUUUUUUUUUUUUUUUUGAGACAGAGUCUCACUCUUUCCCCCAGGCCGGAGUGCAGUAGCGUGAUCUUGGCUCACUGCAAGCUCC
rnacentral:lncRNA from 10 species